CUUCAGUGCUAGGAUAAGCAGGAUCAAAUUUCAGAGGUUCUAACACAGUGUCUUUUUCCGGACAUGUCAUCCUCCAAGCACACUCCAUUUCAAGACAUAACCGACGGGCUAAACAAAGAUCCAAAAGAGUCCGAGAGGCAGAGGAAGAGAGACUGGUAUGCAAACAAUAAAGAGGGGAUUUCAAAACGCAGGCACCAAGCACAAGAGCAGG